rnacentral:rRNA from 1 species
CCUACGGGUGGCUGCAGUGGGGAAUAUUGCACAAUGGGCGCAAGCCUGAUGCAGCCAUGCCGCGUGUGUGAAGAAGGCCUUCGGGUUGUAAAGCACUUUCAGCGGGGAGGAAGGCGGUGAGGUUAAUAACCUCAUCGAUUGACGUUACCCGCAGAAGAAGCACCGGCUAACUCCGUGCCAGCAGCCGCGGUAAUACGGAGGGUGCAAGCGUUAAUCGGAAUUACUGGGCGUAAAGCGCACGCAGGCGGUCUGUCAAGUCGGAUGUGAAAUCCCCGGGCUCAACCUGGGAACUGCAUUCGAAACUGGCAGGCUAGAGUCUUGUAGAGGGGGGUAGAAUUCCAGGUGUAGCGGUGAAAUGCGUAGAGAUCUGGAGGAAUACCGGUGGCGAAGGCGGCCCCCUGGACAAAGACUGACGCUCAGGUGCGAAAGCAUGGGGAGCAAACAGGAUUAGAUACCCUGGUAGUC